GCCCUACGGGGGGCAGCGGUGGGGAAUAUUGGACAAUGGGGGGAACCCUGCUCCAGCGACGCCGCGUGAGUGAAGAGGUAUUUCGGUAUGUAAAGCUCUAUCAGCAGGGAAGAAAAUGACGGUACCUGACUAAGAAGCCCCGGCUAACUACGUGCCAGCAGCGGCGGUAAUACGUAGGGGGCAAGCGUUAGCCGGAUUUACUGGGUGUAAAGGGAGCGUAGACGGUGCAGCA
rnacentral:rRNA from 1 species